CCUACGGGAGGCUGCAGUGGGGAAUAUUGCACAAUGGGGGAAACCCUGAUGCAGCAACGCCGCGUGAGUGAAGAAGGUUUUCGGAUUGUAAAGCUCUGUUAGCAGGGAAGAGGAAGGACGGUACUUGCAGAGGAAGCCACGGCUAACUACGUGCGAGCAGCCGCGGUAAUACGUAGGUGGCAAGCGUUGUUCGGAAUAACUGGGCGUAAAGGAGGCGUAGGAGGUUAAAUAAGUCAUAUGUGAAAUAUAAAGGCUUAACCUGAAGAUUGCAAAUAAAACUGUUAAAUUAGAGUGCAGGAGAGGUAGGUGGAAUUCGUAGUGUAGCGGUGAAAUGCGUAGAGAUUACGAAGAACACCGAUGGCGAAGGCAGCUUACUAAACUGUAACUGACGCUGAGGCAUGAAAGUAUGGGGAGCAAACAGGAUUAGAUACCCUAGUAGUC
rnacentral:rRNA from 1 species